GGUACAGUAACCAGGACUGUGUUGUCUCAGGGGUAGAGGUUUUAACAGACUACAGUACCUGACAUCUCUGAAAGGACACUACAGGAUAACCAUGGGUUUGUCUGUUUGGUACAGUAACCAGGACUGUGUUGACUCAGGGGUAGAGGUUUUAACAGACUACAGUACCUGACAUCUCUGAAAGGACACUACAGGAUAACCAUGGGUUUGUCUGUUUGGUACAGUAACCAGGACUGUGUUGACUCAGGGGUAGAGGUUUUAACAGACUACAGUACCUGACAUCUCUGAAAGGACACUACAGGAUAACCAUGGGUUUGUCUGUUUGGUACAGUAACCAGGACUGUGUUGUCUCAGGGGUAGAGGUUUUAACAGACUACAGUACCUGACAUCUCUGAAAGGACACUACAGGAUAACCAUGGGUUUGUCUGUUUGGUACAGUAACCAGGACUGUGUUGACUCAGGGGUAGAGGUUUUAACAGACUACAGUACCUGACAUCUCUGAAAGGACACUACAGGAUAACCAUGGGUUUGUCUGUUUGGUACAGUAACCAGGACUGUGUUGACUCAGGGGUAGAGGUUUUAACAGACUACAGUACCUGACAUCUCUGAAAGGACACUACAGGAUAACCAUGGGUUUGUCUGUUUGGUACAGUAACCAGGACUGUGUUGACUCAGGGGUAGAGGUUUUAACAGACUACAGUACCUGACAUCUCUGAAAGGACACUACAGGAUAACCAUGGGUUUGUCUGUUUGGUACAGUAACCAGGACUGUGUUGUCUCAGGGGUAGAGGUUUUAACAGACUACAGUACCUGACAUCUCUGAAAGGACACUACAGGAUAACCAUGGGUUUGUCUGUUUGGUACAGUAACCAGGACUGUGUUGUCUCAGGGGUAGAGGUUUUAACAGACUACAGUACCUGACAUCUCUGAAAGGACACUACAGGAUAACCAUGGGUUUGUCUGUUUGGUACAGUAACCAGGACUGUGUUGACUCAGGGGUAGAGGUUUUAACAGACUACAGUACCUGACAUCUCUGAAAGGACACUACAGGAUAACCAUGGGUUUGUCUGUUUGGUACAGUAACCAGGACUGUGUUGUCUCAGGGGUAGAGGUUUUAACAGACUACAGUACCUGACAUCUCUGAAAGGACACUACAGGAUAACCAUGGGUUUGUCUGUUUGGUACAGUAACCAGGACUGUGUUGACUCAGGGGUAGAGGUUUUAACAGACUACAGUACCUGACAUCUCUGAAAGGACACUACAGGAUAACCAUGGGUUUGUCUGUUUGGUACAGUAACCAGGACUGUGUUGACUCAGGGGUAGAGGUUUUAACAGACUACAGUACCUGACAUCUCUGAAAGGACACUACAGGAUAACCAUGGGUUUGUCUGUUUGGUACAGUAACCAGGACUGUGUUGUCUCAGGGGUAGAGGUUUUAACAGACUACAGUACCUGACAUCUCUGAAAGGACACUACAGGAUAACCAUGGGUUUGUCUGUUUGGUACAGUAACCAGGACUGUGUUGUCUCAGGGGUAGAGGUUUUAACAGACUACAGUACCUGACAUCUCUGAAAGGACACUACAGGAUAACCAUGGGUUUGUCUGUUUGGUACAGUAACCAGGACUGUGUUGUCUCAGGGGUAGAGGUUUUAACAGACUACAGUACCUGACAUCUCUGAAAGGACACUACAGGAUAACCAUGGGUUUGUCUGUUUUGGUUUUGUGUUUAUUUGCUUGUUUCAUGAUUUCCCUACAUAUUGAUUACUUCCCCAUAAGGAGUAGAAAGGGGUGUGGUCCCGUUUGUUUAACCAUCUAC